AUACGGAGGGGGUUAGCGUUGUUCGGAAUUACUGGGCGUAAAGCGCACGUAGGCGGACUGGAAAGUUGGGGGUGAAAUCCCGGGGCUCAACCUCGGAACUGCCUCCAAAACUUCCAAUCUAGAGAUCGAGAGAGGUGAGUGGAAUUCCAAGUGUAGAGGUGAAAUUCGUAGAUAUUUGGAGGAACACCAGUGGCGAAGGCGGCUCACUGGCUCGAUACUGACGCUGAGGUGCGAAAGCGUGGGGAGCAAACAGGAUUAGAAACCCUUGUAGUCC
rnacentral:rRNA from 1 species